CAGCAGCCGCGGUAAUACAGAGGGUGCGAGCGUUAAUCGGAUUUACUGGGCGUAAAGCGUGCGUAGGCGGCUUUUUAAGUCGGAUGUGAAAUCCCUGAGCUUAACUUAGGAAUUGCAUUCGAUACUGGGAAGCUAGAGUAUGGGAGAGGAUGGUAGAAUUCCAGGUGUAGCGGUGAAAUGCGUAGAGAUCUGGAGGAAUACCGGUGGCGAAGGCGGCCCCCUGGACAAAGACUGACGCUCAGGUGCGAAAGCGUGGGGAGCAAACAGGAUUAGAUACCCCUGUAGUCCCUGUCUCUUAUAC
rnacentral:rRNA from 1 species